rfam:Hordeum vulgare subsp. vulgare, WGS project CAJW01000000 data, contig: morex_contig_45309
UUUGUACUCCCUCCGUUUCAAAAUUAUUGUCUUAGAUUUGUCUAGAUAUAAAUGUAUCUAGUCACGUUUUAGUAUUUAGAAACGUCAUUUUCUAGACAAACUUAAGACAAGAAUUUUGGGACGGAGGAAGUAGUUA